GGAGGUAUAGCACAAGUGGUUGAGCACAUGCUUAGCAUGCACAAGUUCCUGGGUUCAACCCCCAGUACCUCUU
rnacentral:tRNA from 1 species